rnacentral:rRNA from 1 species
AACGAACGCUGGCGGCAUGCCUAACACAUGCAAGUCGAACGAGACCUUCGGGUCUAGUGGCGCACUGGUGCGUAACGCGUGGGAACCUGCCCUUAGGUUCGGAAUAACUCCCCGAAAGGGGUGCUAAUACGGGAUAAUGUCUCCGGUCCAAAGAUUUAUCGCCUUUGGAUGGGCCUGCGUUGGAUUAGCUAGUUGGUAGGGUAAAAGCCUACCAAGGCGACGAUCCAUAGCUGGUCUGAGAGGAUGAUCAGCCACACUGGGACUGAGACACGGCCCAGACUCCUACGGGAGGCAGCAGUGGGGAAUAUUGGACAAUGGGCGAAAGCCUGAUCCAGCAAUGCCGCGUGAGUGAUGAAGGCCUUAGGGUUGUAAAGCUCUUUUACCCGGGAUGAUAAUGACAGUACCGGGAGAAUAAGCUCCGGCUAACUCCGUG